CCGCGAGACCUUCCCUGUUCUCGUCCUGACAACACGUUUAUUUUCUUUAGGAACAAAAGUGUGUCUUGCGGCUCCUCCGGGCCCCUGAGAGCCCAGUGACCUCUGAGGCGGCUUCAAAGAGAGCGGCAGGGGGGCGGAGUCAGACUCGACGCAUCACAAUGACACCCCACCCACUCUCUGCCCUCACUUUCCUCAACUUUUCUGCAAAGAUUUGGACUCUUCUUCAGGAUAAAAGCGGCGGAUGGUGAAUCUGCAGUUUGGGCUGUAAUUUAUGAGGCCGCAGCAGCACGAAUGAAAUGAAGCUUUUACAACAGACGCCUGCUGACACACUUUUAGC
rnacentral:lncRNA from 1 species